AGAGUUUGAUCCUGGCUCAGGAUGAACGCUGGCGGUAUGCCUAAUACAUGCAAGUCGAACGAACUAGUUUACUAGUUAGUGGCGAACGGGUGAGUAACACGUAAAUAACCAAUCUUUUUCACGAGGAUAACUCUGGGAAACUGGAGCUAAUACUGGAUAAGAUAUGACCUCACAAGGGGACAUAUUUAAAGCACCUUUCGGGGUGUGGUAAAAGAUGGGAUUGCGUCGCAUUAGAUAGUUGGUGAGGGUAAUGGCCCACCAAGUCAACGAUGCGUAGCUGAGCUGAGAGGCUGAACAGCCACACUGGGACUGAGACACGGCCCAGACUCCUACGGGAGGCAGCAGUAGGGAAUUUUCGGCAAUGGGGGGAACCCUGACCGAGCAAUACCGCGUGAACGAAGAAGGUCUUCGGAUUGUAAAGUUCUUUUAUUGGGGAAGAAACAUGUAUAUAGGAAAUGAUAUAUAUUUGACGGUACCCAUUAAUAAGCCCCGGCUAACUACGUGCCAGCAGCCGCGGUAAUACGUAGGGGGCGAGCGUUAUCCGGAAUUAUUGGGCGUAAAGCGUGCGUAGGCGGUUAUAUAAGUCAUUUGUAAAAGAUCUCAGCUCAACUGAGUAGCGCGAAUGAAACUGUAUGACUUGAAUACGGUAGAGGUAAGUGGAAUUCCAUGUGUAGCGGUGGAAUGCGUAGAUAUAUGGAGGAACACCAAUGGCGAAGGCAACUACUGGGCCGGAAUUGACGCUGAGGCACGAAAGCGUGGGGAGCAAACAGGAUUAGAUACCCUGGUAGUCCACGCCGUAAACGAUGAGAACUAAGUGUUGGAGUAAAAUUCAGUGCUGAAGUUAACGCAUUAAGUUCUCCGCCUGGGUAGUACGAUCGCAAGAUUGAAACUCCAAGGAAUUGACGGGAACCCGCACAAGCGGUGGAGUAUGUUGUUUAAUUCGAAGAUACACGAAGAACCUUACCAGGUCUUGACAUACCAUUGACAGGAUUAGAGAUAAUUUUUUCCUUCGGGACAAUGGAUACAGGUGGUGCAUGGUUGUCGUCAGCUCGUGCCGUGAGGUGUUGGGUUAAGUCCCGCAACGAGCGCAACCCUUAUUAUUAGUUGCUAAUAUUCAGUUAAGGACUCUAAUGAGACUGCCAGCGAUAAGCUGGAGGAAGGUGGGGAUGACGUCAAAUCAUCAUGCCCCUUAUGACCUGGGCUACAAACGUACUACAAUGGCUGAUACAAAGAGAAGCGAGAUCGCGAGAUGGAGCAAACCUCAUAAAAUCAGUCUCAGUUCGGACUGGAGUCUGCAACUCGACUCCACGAAGUCGGAAUCGCUAGUAAUCGCAAGUCAGCAGAUUGCGGUGAAUACGUUCCCGGGUUUUGUACACACCGCCCGUCAAACCACGAGAGUUUGUAACACCCGAAGCCGGUGGCCUAACCGUAAGGAAGGAGCCGUCUAAGGUGGGACAGAUGAUUGGGGUUAAGUCGUAACAAGGUA
rnacentral:rRNA from 1 species